AGCAUGGCUAGUGGGGAGAUCCUCAGAAUAGCUCCAGAGCUUUGGGAAAAGAGGCAAUAUCUGAAUGACGUCAGACUGAGGAAGGAACGCCUCAUGAAAACAACUUUAGAAUGGAAGAAAAGGCUUCACUAUUAAGUUUUACUGUCAACCUUCUGAAAAUUCCAUCAGCAGAGGGAAAGCCCCACCAAGUCUCCCAAAGCAGGUGUCACUCACUGAAAGUUUUCUCCAUUUCUUCACAACGCCGCAAUUCGCCCACAAAGCGCCGCUGGAAGGCACUGACAUGAGGAUUCAGCUGGAAAUAGAAGAGGCUUAUUGAGAAGCUUAUGAGGGUCUGGUUAAAGAUAGAGCUGAUGCUUUAGCCAUCCCAAAACCAGGCACCAAAAUUUUUAAUGCACCACAUCAAGAUCUGCUCAAUAAAACACCCUCCUUUUAGCCUCAAA